CAACAUUUCGAAUUCAUGACUUUCACUCAACAAUCCCAAUUUUCGCUUUUUUUACAUUCAUUCUGUGGCCAGUGGCGUUAUUUAAACGUAUUAGUUGACUGGGUAAACUUACAAAACUUGUCGACAAACGAGAAAAAAAGGUAUUUACCACGUCAUACUUAAAAAGUAGUAAGUUCGCAGUUUCUUGACGUCAAUAUGUAUUCAUUAUUUUUGUUCAUAAUUUCAAAAUCCGUCAGAAGAUCGUUGAAAAAUCAAAAAUUUGACUACCCGGUAUUAUUCGUGAAAGCGUGCAAACGAAAGGCAUAUUAUUAUGAAACAUUGGUUUGGUAUUUUGUUACAAUUUUUUUCCAGGCUCUAACGCCAAUCGGAAUCAAUGAAAGCACUGACUUAAGAGAACGCUUAACGUUAAGCUCCGGGAGAAAAUGCCAAAGUCGUUAUUCUUUUGCACACUUCUCCCCCGAAAAAAUGACGCCACUGUGAGUAGUACCUAUUUUGUACACAGAUUGACCAUUUUAUCACGAUCCGCCGAAUUUCUCAGAGUAAUUCUGAUUUAUAUUUUUUUUCCCCCAAUCACUAUGAAAUCAAUUUAGCUUCAUUUUAAAAUCGUGUUUAAUAUCGUAUUAAAAAAAUAUUCUUGAACGAUUCCAUAAAAGGCUGAAAACCUAUAAAAUCGAAGUUACUCAACAUUCUCGUUAAUUAACAUAUGGAUCGUGAUAAAAACGAAUCACUCUGUUGUAUUUGUUUUUUGUUUCAUCCGUUUACAGAUAGUUAAUAUUAUAUUAACUACGGUGGACUACGCCCCGUGUAUACGUCCUCCGUAUUGCUCGAAUAUCAGACGAAGUCCGAUAAGCGAAAACUUGUAUCCGGGAAGAAAGAAAAAAUGACACGUUUCGUGUUUUUUCCAUGAAAAUCGUUGUGAAUUUAUCACCGCUGAUUCGCGUUAACCGUCGCGAUUUAUCAUAAACAAUAAUCGUGUAAAUAACUUAUACAUUAUUACCCUGUAUAUCGAGUCGUGUUAUCUGCGCGUAUGGUAUUAUACUUUAUGAUACGAAUCAAUGCGUUCAUGGAAAAAAAAAAAAAAAAAACCAAAACUUAUUAUUUUUUUUUUCUUCCCGGGCAACUGCCCAUUUUCGCCCAUCAGAUAUUGUCCGACUAAUUUUCGCUCGAGGCUCAGUCCGCUAUAUUACAUAUUAUGUGUAUAUUAUAUCUAUUUAUAAUAUUAGAAAACGGUUUCUCUAACGGCCAAUAGAGCGCCGCCGCCGCCGCCGCGCACAUUUCGCAUUACCAUAUAAUAUUUAAAACGCGUCCGAGAGCAGGAUGCUCUAGAUUCACAGCCGAUACAUACGGGGCUCGAGAACCGGUCGAUGAAAUCGUUAUAUAUACGGUUUGUUUUUUACGUUUUUUUUUUUUUCUUUCUUUCUUUUUCUUCGCUCGUAUUAUAUACCUAC